rnacentral:rRNA from 1 species
UACGUCGGGUGCGAGCGUUAAUCGGAAUUACUGGGCGUAAAGCGUGCGCAGGCGGUGGCUCAAGCCAGGCGUGAAAUCCCCGGGCUUAACCUGGGAAUGGCGUUUGGGACUGGGUCGCUAGAGUGUGGCAGAGGGAGGUGGAAUUCCACGUGUAGCAGUGAAAUGCGUAGAGAUGUGGAGGAACACCGAUGGCGAAGGCAGCCUCCUGGGCCAGCACUGACGCUCAUGCACGAAAGCGUGGGGAGCAAACAGG